rnacentral:rRNA from 1 species
AACGAACGCUGGCGGCAUGCCUAACACAUGCAAGUCGAACGAGACCUUCGGGUCUAGUGGCGCACGGGUGCGUAACGCGUGGGAACCUGCCCUUGGGUUCGGAAUAACUCCCCGAAAGGGGUGCUAAUACCGGAUAAUGUCUUCGGACCAAAGAUUUAUCGCCUUUGGAUGGGCCCGCGUUGGAUUAGCUAGUUGGUAGGGUAAAAGCCUACCAAGGCGACGAUCCAUAGCUGGUCUGAGAGGAUGAUCAGCCACACUGGGACUGAGACACGGCCCAGACUCCUACGGGAGGCAGCAGUGGGGAAUAUUGGACAAUGGGCGAAAGCCUGAUCCAGCAAUGCCGCGUGAGUGAUGAAGGCCUUAGGGUUGUAAAGCUCUUUUACCCGGGAUGAUAAUGACAGGACCGGGAGAAUAAGCGCCGGCUAACUCCGU